rnacentral:rRNA from 1 species
UGGGGAAUAUUGGACAAUGGGCGAAAGCCUGAUCCAGCCAUGCCGCGUGUGUGAAGAAGGUCUUCGGAUUGUAAAGCACUUUAAGUUGGGAGGAAGGGCAGUAAGCUAAUACCUUGCUGUUUUGACGUUACCGACAGAAUAAGCACCGGCUAACUCUGUGCCAGCAGCCGCGGUAAUACAGAGGGUGCAAGCGUUAAUCGGAAUUACUGGGCGUAAAGCGCGCGUAGGUGGUUUGUUAAGUUGGAUGUGA